rnacentral:rRNA from 1 species
CCUGGCGGCCAUAGCGAGCGGGAACCACCCGAUCCCUUUCCGAACUCGGAAGUGAAAACGCUCUGCGCCAAUGGUAGUUUGGUCUUCGACCAUGCAAGAGUAGGUCACUGCCAGGC